AGCGAACGCUGGCGGCAUGCCUAACACAUGCAAGUCGAACGGCAGCACGGCAGUAGCAAUACUGUGGGUGGCGAGUGGCGGACGGGUGAGGAAUACGUCGGAAUCUGCCCAGUCGUGGGGGAUAACUAGCCGAAAGGUUAGCUAAUACCGCAUACGACCGAGAGGUGAAAGCGGGGGACCGCAAGGCCUCGCGCGAUUGGAUGAGCCGACGUCGGAUUAGCUAGUUGGUGGGGUAAAGGCCCACCAAGGCGACGAUCCGUAGCUGGUCUGAGAGGAUGAUCAGCCACACUGGAACUGAGACACGGUCCAGACUCCUACGGGAGGCAGCAGUGGGGAAUAUUGGACAAUGGGCGCAAGCCUGAUCCAGCAAUGCCGCGUGUGUGAAGAAGGCCUCGGUUGGUAAG
rnacentral:rRNA from 1 species